AAUCCGUGUUGUCCUCUUGGAAAAGCUACUUUUUAUUUCAGAGCAAAUUCUAAAGAAAAAGUACUCAAAAGCGUAGAAGUUAAAAUUUUUGCUGAAAAAGUUAGCAGGCAAUACUGUUUUGCCUAUUCCAUUUUGCUUAGACUUUCGCAUCUUUCAAUUCUAUUGAAAGUUCUGUGAAAAUUACAUUACAAUUGUGCUUUUCAUUGCGAUAAAUAGCUACCAUAUAGCCCCAUUUAGGUCGAUUAUGUCUUACAUAUCGUGGUAGUCGAUUAUUUGGAGUCGCCUUUCUGCUGCCGAAAACUACCGGUUGGUGAAUUUUCAUAAACGUUUUUAGAACAGAGUUUUUGCAAAUAUAAUAGUGACCACCUUACAUACAAUACAUAAACUACAGUUAGACUUCACAGACGAGCAAGUGCAGCGGAAGAUGUGUGUUGAAGAGCUGGUUUUUAGAAACGAAGGCAUGUAUGCGCGUAUUUCUACCGCGUAUUUCUACAAUUUCAUAGAUGACAUUGAUCGUGCUGUGUAUGAUGGUGCAAAUACCUAGUAAGUGUUUGACAUGUGACGGUCAUUAUGUGCCUAGUUCUGCUACCACUGAAAUCAAUUUGGCUUCCGAACUAGCUCUUCACGCUACCCGGUCUAGAACAAUAUGCUGUACGUAAAUGCAUGCGCAACACCUACACGAGCAAGUCCUCGCGCUUUACGUCUACAUUUACAUGUUUUUGAUUUCUGCCCGAAUCAUCGCAAUUACUAAAAGUGGAUUAUGUUAUCAAUAUAGAAAUUUUUCGAUGUAUUAGUUUUAGACUAUAUGAAUAUAUUUUCCUAACUAUACUAAUAAAAUAU